GAUCCCCAGGGAGGAUCUCCGCUCUCUGUGAGUACUUCUGUAACAGCAAACAUCAGAGUGUCCAUGACCCAGAGAUCUCAGAUGCAAAUCAGCUUCUCUUUGGAGCUGGACAGCUUGUCAUACACAUUCACAUACAAUCCCAGACAAACAGCUAUUGGAACUGAAGAAGCAUUCAGCAGAAUUGGUGGUGGUGUAUAACAUAGCUUGACUAAUUAGGCCACAUUUACUGUGGUUAACGUGCAAUUUAUUCAAAGUGGAAGGAGAUAAUGUUAAUGCAAUAUAAGAUGUUAAUGAGACUUCAGUCCAUUUAGCUUUGAGG